rnacentral:rRNA from 1 species
UACGUAGGGUGCGAGCGUUAAUCGGAAUUACUGGGCGUAAAGCGUGCGCAGGCGGUUCGUUGUGUCGGUGGUGAAAUCCCCGGGCUUAACCUGGGAAUGGCCAUGGAAACUGGCGAACUGGAGUGCGGCAGAGGGGGGUGGAAUUCCGCGUGUAGCAGUGAAAUGCGUAGAGAUGUGGAGGAACACCGAUGGCGAAGGCAGCCCCCUGGGUUAACACUGACGCUGAGGCACGAAGCGU